GGUAGAAUGGCCGAGUGUUUAGGCGGCGGUUUGUAGCACCGUGUACGAAGGUUUGAGCCCUUCUUCUACUA
rnacentral:tRNA from 1 species